rnacentral:rRNA from 1 species
AAAUUGAAGAGUUUGAUCAUGGCUCAGAUUGAACGCUGGCGGCAGGCCUAACACAUGCAAGUCGAGCGGUAGCACAGAGAGCUUGCUCUCGGGUGACGAGCGGCGGACGGGUGAGUAAUGUCUGGGAAACUGCCUGAUGGAGGGGGAUAACUACUGGAAACGGUAGCUAAUACCGCAUAACGUCGCAAGACCAAAGUGGGGGACCUUCGGGCCUCAUGCCAUCAGAUGUGCCCAGAUGGGAUUAGCUAGUAGGUGGGGUAACGGCUCACCUAGGCGACGAUCCCUAGCUGGUCUGAGAGGAUGACCAGCCACACUGGAACUGAGACACGGUCCAGACUCCUACGGGAGGCAGCAGUGGGGAAUAUUGCACAAUGGGCGCAAGCCUGAUGCAGCCAUGCCGCGUGUGUGAAGAAGGCCUUCGGGUUGUAAAGCACUUUCAGCGGGGAGGAAGGCGUUAAGGUUAAUAACCUUGGCGAUUGACGUUACCCGCAGAAGAAGCACCGGCUAACUCCGUGCCAGCAGCCGCGGUAAUACGGAGGGUGCAAGCGUUAAUCGGAAUUACUGGGCGUAAAGCGCACGCAGGCGGUCUGUCAAGUCGGAUGUGAAAUCCCCGGGCUCAACCUGGGAACUGCAUUCGAAACUGGCAGGCUAGAGUCUUGUAGAGGGGGGUAGAAUUCCAGGUGUAGCGGUGAAAUGCGUAGAGAUCUGGAGGAAUACCGGUGGCGAAGGCGGCCCCCUGGACAAAGACUGACGCUCAGGUGCGAAAGCGUGGGGAGCAAACAGGAUUAGAUACCCUGGUAGUCCACGCCGUAAACGAUGUCGAUUUGGAGGUUGUGCCCUUGAGGCGUGGCUUCCGGAGCUAACGCGUUAAAUCGACCGCCUGGGGAGUACGGCCGCAAGGUUAAAACUCAAAUGAAUUGACGGGGGCCCGCACAAGCGGUGGAGCAUGUGGUUUAAUUCGAUGCAACGCGAAGAACCUUACCUGGUCUUGACAUCCACAGAACUUUCCAGAGAUGGAUUGGUGCCUUCGGGAACUGUGAGACAGGUGCUGCAUGGCUGUCGUCAGCUCGUGUUGUGAAAUGUUGGGUUAAGUCCCGCAACGAGCGCAACCCUUAUCCUUUGUUGCCAGCGGUCCGGCCGGGAACUCAAAGGAGACUGCCAGUGAUAAACUGGAGGAAGGUGGGGAUGACGUCAAGUCAUCAUGGCCCUUACGACCAGGGCUACACACGUGCUACAAUGGCAUAUACAAAGAGAAGCGACCUCGCGAGAGCAAGCGGACCUCAUAAAGUAUGUCGUAGUCCGGAUUGGAGUCUGCAACUCGACUCCAUGAAGUCGGAAUCGCUAGUAAUCGUAGAUCAGAAUGCUACGGUGAAUACGUUCCCGGGCCUUGUACACACCGCCCGUCACACCAUGGGAGUGGGUUGCAAAAGAAGUAGGUAGCUUAACCUUCGGGAGGGCGCUUACCACUUUGUGAUUCAUGACUGGGGUGAAGUCGUAACAAGGUAACCGUAGGGGAACCUGCGGUUG